ensembl:miRNA MIR6850 microRNA 6850
GUGCGGAACGCUGGCCGGGGCGGGAGGGGAAGGGACGCCCGGCCGGAACGCCGCACUCACG